CACGUAGGAGGCGAGCGUUGUCCGGAAUCAUUGGGCGUAAAGAGCGCGCAGGCGGCUUGGCAAGUCGGGUGUGAAAUCCCGGGGCUCAACCCCGUGACUGCAUCCGAUACUGUCAGGCUAGAGUUCGGCAGGGGAGACUGGAAUUCCUGGUGUAGCGGUGAAAUGCGCAGAUAUCAGGAGGAACACCGGUGGCGAAGGCGGGUCUCUGGGCCGAUACUGACGCUGAGGAGCGAAAGCGUGGGGAGCAAACAGG
rnacentral:rRNA from 1 species